UACGUAGGGUGCAAGCGUUUGUCCGGAAUUAUUGGGCGUAAAGGGCUCGUAGGCGGUCCAUCGCGUCGGGAGUGAAAAGCUGGGGCUUAACCCCAGUCCUGCUUCCGAUACGGGUGGACUAGAGGUAGGUAGGGGAGAACGGAAUUCCUGGUGUAGCGGUGAAAUGCGCAGAUAUCAGGAGGAACACCGGUGGCGAAGGCGGUUCUCUGGGCCUUACCUGACGCUGAGGCACGAAAGCGUGGGGAGCAAACAGG
rnacentral:rRNA from 1 species